rnacentral:rRNA from 1 species
GAUGAACGCUGGCGGCGUGCCUAAUACAUGCAAGUCGAGCGAACGGACGAGUAGCUUGCUUCUCUGAUGUUAGCGGCGGACGGGUGAGUAACACGUGGAUAACCUACCUAUAAGACUGGGAUAACUUCGGGAAACCGGAGCUAAUACCGGAUAAUAUUUUGAACCGCAUGGUUCAAAAGUGAAAGACGGUCUUGCUGUCACUUCUCGAUGGAUCCGCGCUGCAUUAGCUAGUUGGUAAGGUCACGGCUUACCAAGGCAACGAUGCAUAGCCGACCGCAGAGGCGGAUAGGCCGCACUGGAGGUGAGACAGCGUCCAUACGCCUGCGGGAGGCAGCAGUAGGCAACCUGCCGCAGUGGGCGAAAGCAUGACGGAGCAACGCCGCGUGAGUGACGACGGUGUUCGGAGCGGAAUACUGUCUUAUGAGUGAAGAACAGAUGUGGAAGGAACUGUGCAGAGCUUGACGGUACCUAAUCAGAAAGCAACGGCUAACUACGUG